CGGAAGGAGGGAGAAAUAGGAAGAGCGCUGCGAAUCAAGACGCUGGACAGUCUGCAAAGACUUUGGAUGACAGUAUUCAUAACUUGGAAUACUUUUAUGAGAAACCCUUUUGAUUUUUGUUGAUUGGAGACUUCCGGACUAAAGGAAUAUAAAUAAUGGAGGAACAGACAAACAGGCCACAGAGCAGUGGACAUUACGGCGCCAAAGGCGUGUAGAGCAGGACAGUGGGAUCUUCAGCAGACACUGAGAUGGUGUGCCAGACUGCAGAUAAAGACAGCCGGGCCUGUAGCAAUGCCUCAAAACAGGGGAGAUCCCACAGCAAAAACAACGGGCUUAAUGGUGAAACACAAAUCUGCGUUGAUCACCAAGAUGCAGCAGCCGGAAGAUAUUACCUUUCCAGCCAUCGUUUAGAAACAGUCGAGACCCAGCCACUCCCCUCUGCCUGGUUUUCUCCAGCCUGCUGGCUCCUCCGCCCCUACACACGCCUGUUCCCAUUUACUUAUCAUCAUCCCCUCUGUGUAUAUAUCUCACCGUUUCCACUCACCGGCGUGUGGAUUGUCUUUCUGCUCAUUGCCAAGCUCUCCUGAUCUUAGUUUGCGUACCUGCCUAAUUCCUGUUCCUGACUGUCCGUUUGCCUGCGUAACUACAGUUCUGCCUGCUUGCCUGCCUACUUUCUUUGCCUUGUUUUGCAGACUCCAGUAAAG